UACGUAGGGUGCAAGCGUUGUCCGGAAUUAUUGGGCGUAAAGAGCUCGUAGGCGGUCUGUCGCGUCGGAUGUGAAAAUCCAGGGCUCAACCCUGGACCUGCAUUCAAUACGGGCAGACUAGAGUUCGGUAGGGGAGACUGGAAUUCCUGGUGUAGCGGUGAAAUGCGCAGAUAUCAGGAGGAACACCAGUGGCGAAGGCGGUGCUCUGGGCCGGAACUGACGCUGAGGAGCGAAAGCGUGGGGAGCAAACAGG
rnacentral:rRNA from 1 species